rfam:Oryza sativa Japonica Group DNA, chromosome 9, cultivar: Nipponbare, complete sequence.
AAAAAGACAAACCGUGGGUUUCCGUGUCCAAUAUUUGACUGUCCGUCUUAUAUGAAAUUUUUUAUAAUUAGUAUUUUCAUUGUUGUUAGAUGAUAAAACAUAAUUAAUAUUUUAUGCGUGAUUUGUCUUUUUAAAUUUUUUUUCAUAUUUUUUUAAAAUAAGAUGGAUGGUUAGGACAUGGAAACCUAGG